GACGAACGCUGGCGGCGUGCUUAACACAUGCAAGUCGAGCGGUAAGGCCCUUUCGGUGGUACACGAGCGGCGAACGGGUGAGUAACACGUGGGUGACCUGCCCUCAGCUCUGGGAUAAGCCCGGGAAACUGGGUCUAAUACCGGAUAUGACUCCAUGACGCAUGUUGUGGGGUGGAAAGCCUUGUGCGGCUGAGGAUGGGCCCGCGGCCUAUCAGCUUGUUGGUGGGGUGANGGCCUACCAAGGCGACGACGGGUAGCCGGCCUGAGAGGGCGACCGGCCACACUGGGACUGAGAUACGGCCCAGACUCCUACGGGAGGCAGCAGUGGGGAAUCUUGCGCAAUGGGCGAAAGCCUGACGCAGCGACGCCGCGUGAGGGAUGACGGCCU
rnacentral:rRNA from 1 species